GCAUAUCAAUAAGCGGAGGAAAAGAAACUAACAAGGAUUCCCUUAGUAACGGCGAAUGAAGCGGGAAGAGCUCAAAUUCGAAAUCUUCAAGGUUUUACCUUGACGAAUUGUAGUUUAAAGAAGUGUUUUCUGCUGAAGUUUUGGUAAAAGUUCUUUGGAAUAGGACAUCAUAGAGGGUGAGAAUCCCGUAUUUGACCAUUAUUUUCAGCUUUGUGAUACACUUUCAAAGAGUCGGAUUGUUUGGGAAUGCAGUCCAAAAUGGGUGGUAAAUUUCAUCUAAAGCUAAAUAUUGGCGAGAGACCGAUAGCGAACAAGUACCGUGAGGGAAAGAUGAAAAGAACUUUGAAAAGAGAGUUAAACAGUACGUGAAAUUGUCAAAAGGGAAGCGUUUGACACCAGUGUUGUUUUCUCGAAAAUCAAUUAAAAAUGGCUCGAUUUUGUAUUGCUGAGACCUUAAAGGCUCACUGUACAUUUUUCGUGUCUUUUUUAAUGCACUUUUCGUUUAACAAGUCAACAUCAGUUUCUUUUGUUGUAAAAGGGUCAUUGGAAGGUGGCUUUCUUUUCGGAGAAAGUGUUUAUAGCCUUUGGCCUCUGCAAUCGGAGAGACUGAGGUCUGCAGCGUAGACUCUUCGGGGUUAGAUACAUUUGUGCUAAGUUAUAGCUUUUUAUAGACAACUUGUUGACUAUAAUUAGUCUUGUAGCUUUACUCGCUUAUGCUAUUUUACCUACGCUUAGGAUGUUGACAAAAUGGUUUUAAACGACCCGUCUUGAAACACGGACC
rnacentral:rRNA from 1 species